UGUUGGAUGCUUGGAAAGAGACUUGUGCUUCACCAACUACAACAACAAUUGUGAUUCCUGAAGGGACAUAUUUAUUAAGUCAAGCAACCCUGGAAGGUCCUUGUAAGACUCCAAUUGAGCUUCAAGUUCAGGGCAAUAUAAAAGCACCAGCUGAUCCUAAAGCUUUUAAGGAGCCUAAAUGGAUUGGAUUCAAUAAAGUAGAAAAUUUGAA